UGCAAGUCGAGCGGACCGACGGGAGCUUGCUCCCUUAGGUCAGCGGCGGACGGGUGAGUAACACGUGGGUAACCUGCCUGUAAGACUGGGAUAACUCCGGGAAACCGGGGCUAAUACCGGAUGCUUGAUUGAACCGCAUGGUUCAAUCAUAAAAGGUGGCUUUUAGCUACCACUUGCAGAUGGACCCGCGGCGCAUUAGCUAGUUGGUGAGGUAACGGCUCACCAAGGCGACGAUGCGUAGCCGACCUGAGAGGGUGAUCGGCCACACUGGGACUGAGACACGGCCCAGACUCCUACGGGAGGCAGCAGUAGGGAAUCUUCCGCAAUGGACGAAAGUCUGACGGAGCAACGCCGCGUGAGUGAUGAAGGUUUUCGGAUCGUAAAACUCUGUUGUUAGGGAAGAACAAGUACCGUUCGAAUAGGGCGGCACCUUGACGGUACCUAACCAGAAAGCCACGGCUAACUACGUGCCAGCAGCCGCGGUAAUACGUAGGUGGCAAGCGUUGUCCGGAAUUAUUGGGCGUAAAGCGCGCGCAGGCGGUUUCUUAAGUCUGAUGUGAAAGCCCCCGGCUCAACCGGGGAGGGUCAUUGGAAACUGGGGAACUUGAGUGCAGAAGAGGAGAGUGGAAUUCCACGUGUAGCGGUGAAAUGCGUAGAGAUGUGGAGGAACACCAGUGGCGAAGGCGACUCUCUGGUCUGUAACUGACGCUGAGGCGCGAAAGCGUGGGGAGCGAACAGGAUUAGAUACCCUGGUAGUCCACGCCGUAAACGAUGAGUGCUAAGUGUUAGAGGGUUUCCGCCCUUUAGUGCUGCAGCAAACGCAUUAAGCACUCCGCCUGGGGAGUACGGUCGCAAGACUGAAACUCAAAGGAAUUGACGGGGGCCCGCACAAGCGGUGGAGCAUGUGGUUUAAUUCGAAGCAACGCGAAGAACCUUACCAGGUCUUGACAUCCUCUGACAACCCUAGAGAUAGGGCUU
rnacentral:rRNA from 1 species